rnacentral:rRNA from 1 species
GAUGAACGCUGGCGGCGUGCCUAAUACAUGCAAGUCGAGCGAACAGACGAGGAGCUUGCCCCUCUGACGUUAGCGGCGGACGGGUGAGUAACACGUGGAUAACCUACCUAUAAGACUGGGAUAACUUCGGGAAACCGGAGCUAAUACCGGAUAAUAUAUUGAACCGCAUGGUUCAAUAGUGAAAGACGGUUUUGCUGUCACUUAUAGAUGGAUCCGCGCCGCAUUAGCUAGUUGGUAAGGUAACGGCUUACCAAGGCAACGAUGCGUAGCCGACCUGAGAGGGGGAUCGGCCACACUGGAACUGAGACACGGUCCAGACUCCUACGGGAGGCAGCAGUAGGGAAUCUUCCGCAAUGGGCGAAAGCCUGACGGAGCAACGCCGCGUGAGUGAUGAAGGUCUUCGGAUCGUAAAACUCUGUUAUUAGGGAAGAACAAAUGUGUAAGUAACUAUGCACGUCUUGACGGUACCUAAUCAGAAAGCCACGGCUAACUACGUG